rnacentral:rRNA from 1 species
AUUGAACGCUGGCGGCAGGCCUAACACAUGCAAGUCGAGCGGAUGAAGGGAGCUUGCUCCUGGAUUCAGCGGCGGACGGGUGAGUAAUGCCUAGGAAUCUGCCUGGUAGUGGGGGAUAACGUCCGGAAACGGGCGCUAAUACCGCAUACGUCCUGAGGGAGAAAGUGGGGGAUCUUCGGACCUCACGCUAUCAGAUGAGCCUAGGUCGGAUUAGCUAGUUGGUGGGGUAAAGGCCUACCAAGGCGACGAUCCGUAACUGGUCUGAGAGGAUGAUCAGUCACACUGGAACUGAGACACGGUCCAGACUCCUACGGGAGGCAGCAGUGGGGAAUAUUGGACAAUGGGCGAAAGCCUGAUCCAGCCAUGCCGCGUGUGUGAAGAAGGUCUUCGGAUUGUAAAGCACUAAGUUGGGAGGAAGGGCAGUAAGUUAAUACCUUGCUGUUUUGACGUUACCAACAGAAUAAGCACCGGCUAACUUCGUG